GCAUAUCAAUAAGCGGAGGAAAAGAAACCAACAGGGAUUGCUCUAGUAACGGCGAGUGAAGCAGCAAUAGCUCAAAUUUGAAAUCUGGCGUCUUCGACGUCCGAGUUGUAAUUUGUAGAGGAUGCUUCUGAGUGGCCACCGACCUAAGUUCCUUGGAACAGGACGUCAUAGAGGGUGAGAAUCCCGUAUGCGGUCGGAAAGGCGCUCUAUACGUAGCUCCUUCGACGAGUCGAGUUGUUUGGGAAUGCAGCUCUAAAUGGGAGGUAAAUUUCUUCUAAAGCUAAAUAUUGGCCAGAGACCGAUAGCGCACAAGUAGAGUGAUCGAAAGAUGAAAAGCACUUUGGAAAGAGAGUUAAAAAGCACGUGAAAUUGUUAAAAGGGAAGGGAUUGCAACCAGACUUGCUCGCGGUGUUCCGCCGGUCUUCUGACCGGUCUACUCGCCGCGUUGCAGGCCAGCAUCGUCUGGUGCCGCUGGAUAAGACUUGAGGAAUGUAGCUCCCUCGGGAGUGUUAUAGCCUCUUGUGAUGCAGCGAGCGCCGGGCGAGGUCCGCGCUUCGGCUAGGAUGCUGGCGUAAUGGUCGUAAUCCGCCCGUCUGAAACACGGACC
rnacentral:rRNA from 1 species